rnacentral:rRNA from 1 species
GAUGAACGCUGGCGGCGUGCUUAACACAUGCAAGUCGAACGGAAAGGCUCCUGCUUGCAGGGGUACUCGAGUGGCGAACGGGUGAGUAACACGUGGGUGAUCUGCCCUGCACUUCGGGAUAAGCCUGGGAAACUGGGUCUAAUACCGGAUAGGACGAUGGUUUGGAUGCCAUUGUGGAAAGUUUUUUCGGUGUGGGAUGAGCUCGCGGCCUAUCAGCUUGUUGGUGGGGUAAUGGCCUACCAAGGCGUCGACGGGUAGCCGGCCUGAGAGGGUGUACGGCCAACAUGGGAACGAGGUACGGGCCCAGCCUCUACCGGGGGGAAGAGGGGGGAAUAUUUGAAAAUGGGGGGAAGGCUGGUGCAAGGGCGGCGGGUGGGGGAAUACGGGCUUCGGGGUGUAAACCUCCUUCGGCUGGGAACAAGCCGAAGUGACGGGACCUGGAAGAGAAGGCACCGGCAAACACGUG